rnacentral:rRNA from 1 species
UACGUAGGGUGCAAGCGUUAAUCGGAAUUACUGGGCGUAAAGCGUGCGCAGGCGGUGAUGUAAGACCGAUGUGAAAUCCCCGGGCUUAACCUGGGAACUGCAUUGGUGACUGCAUUGCUAGAGUAUGGCAGAGGGGGGGUGGAAUUCCACGUGUAGCAGUGAAAUGCGUAGAUAUUGGGAGGAACACCAGUGGCGAAGGCGGCUCACUGGACUGGUACUGACGCUGAGGCGCGAAAGCGUGGGGAGCAAACAGG